CUAAAAUGGAAAGACGUCUGUCCAUGAUUGGACAUUGCUCUGCCUUCUUGACAUCUCAGUCGACCAGACAAGUCUUACAGGCCCUAGUUUUGUCGCACCUGGACUACUGCCCUGCUGUGUGGUCAUGUGCGGCAGAGAAGGACAUAGGUCAGUUGCAGUUGGUCCAGAACAAAGCAACGCAUAUUGCACUUAGAUGUACAUAGAGGGAAAGUGUCACUAACAUGCAUGUCUCUCCUGGCUAAAAGUUGAGGAGAGUUUGACUGCAUUACUAUUGGUCUUUGUGCAGGGUAUUGAUGUGUUUAAAAUACCGAACUGUCUGUUCAAGCAGCUGGCACGGAGUUCAGACAUUCAUUGGUACAACAUAAGGCAUGCAACCACAGGUCUCUUCACAGUCCCCAGGUCCAGAACAUAGGCUGGGAAAGGCACAGUAUUAAAUAGAUUCAUGACACUACAUGGCACUCUCUAUCACCCCAGGUAACUCAAGCUUGUUACGUCUACUCCUGCUCCUCCCCUCCGGCGUUUGACGUCGCCGGAAUACUAACCACUGGUCCUGGGAUCCAUCAUUACAUACACCUGGCAUCAUCAUUACGCGCAGAUCAUCGUGAUACUCACCUGGACUUCCUGAUUUCCUCCUCUAUAUCUGUCACUCCCUUGGGUUCCGUCCUCAGUCAAUAUAGUUCCUGUGUUCAUGCGUAAACGCCGCUGUUAUGUUGUGUUGUUUCAUGUUUGUUGUUUUAUUAUUAUUAUUUUUUUAUUAUACAUUUUGCCCCCUUUUCUCCCCAAUUUCGUGGUAUCCAAUUGUUAGUAAUUACUAUCUUGUCUCAUCACGACAACUCCCGUACAGGCUCGGGAGAGACGAAGGUCGAAAGCCAUGCAUCCUCCGAAACAGAACCCAACCCAUCCAAGCCGCACUGCUUCUUAACACAGCGCGCAUCCAACCCGGAAGCCAGCCACACCAAUGUGUCGGAGGAAACGCCGUGCACCUGGCGACCUUGGUUAGCGUGUACUGCGCCCGGCCCGCCACAGGAGUCGCUGGUGCGCGAUGAGACAAGGAUAUCCCUACCGGCCAAACCCUCCCUAACCUGCAUGAUGCUAGGCCGACCUCCCGGUCACGGCCGGCUGCAACAGAGCCUGGGUGGCACAGUCUCUGGUGGCACAGCUAGCGCUGCGAUGCAGUGCCCUAGACCACUGCGCCACCCGGGAGGCCCGUUUGUUGUUUUAUUAAAUGUUUCACCUGCACCUGCUUCUCGACUCACAGCAUCUCCGUUACAAAGCUAGCAAUAAAAACGGAUAAAUAGCACCUUAUUGUACCAAAGGGUACUGUGAAGAGACACAGCCAUUUUAUAUCAUCUAUCUUGUAUUGUAAUUUGCACUGUACCAUGUAUAAAACCUAGGCUAUGUGUGAUGCUUUACAUGUAUGUAUUUCAGUCCUUGACUAAUAAUCUUCUAUACUAUGUAUGAUGUCAUGUUUCAUGUGGACCCCAGGAAGAGUAGCUGAUGCUUUUGCAGUGGCUAAUGGGGAUGGUAAUAAAUACAAAUGCCAAGUAGGGAUUACCAGGGAUGUUCUGUUGAUAAAUGCAGGAAUCGGACCAUUUUCCAGUCCCGCUAAGCAUUCGAAAUGUAACGUAUGGAGUAAAAAGUACAUUAUUUACUUCAGGAAUGUAGUUAAAGUAAAAGUUGUCAAAAAUAUAAAUAGUAAAGUACAGAUACCCCCCAAAAAAUCUUGCACUGACCUUGGUAGACAGACUGACAGAGAUGUGACAAUCAAUUCAAAUAUAUUUUUCUUUUUGUUUAUAUAUUUUUGCAUGUGUAGUAUCCUUCUGACCCUAUGCAGCCAGGUCCAUUAUACUUUUUAAUUCCUCGCAAGUGAGGCUUGUUUGGUGCCUGCUGUGAAGGAAUACCACAACAAGUCAACUACUUGAUUGAUGGCGGCAUGUCAUCCACCAAAUGCAACAGCGCAGUCAACUAUGUGCACCAUUUAUUUGCAAACUAUGGAGUUGGGGAAACACGUGUGGACCUGGAUUGUGAAAACUGUAGUGGCCAAAACAAGAACAGGUGUGUGCUCUGGUAUUGCACCUGGCAGACCAUUCACAAGCUCCACCAGUCUGGAACUUCCCUUCCUGAUCGCAGGCCAUACCAAGCCAUACCAAGCCAAACCAGACCUUCAGAAAGACCAGAGUGACCACCUUGUCAGAGAAUGCUGGUGUGGUGAAGGACAGCACUGUGACGGGUCAGCAUCCCACAGCUAGUUGAACUGGAGGACCGUACACAGCUGGUGGAAAGCUAUGGCUGGCAAGAACACCUGACUCCGUACUUCAGGCCACUGGCACAGAUCAAGCCAUACCAGCAUUUCAGGAAUGUCCGGACUCAGUUGGGACCAGGUUUCAGAUGCUUUGCAACGCUGAUAUCCUUCCUCCCAGAGAUGCUAUGCCUGUACAAGCACCACCUGGACUGGACACAACUCAACAAACAUAUAUUUUGGAGAGGUUCAGAGAGUUUCGCGACAAAGAGGCCAUGGACAUCACAUGCCCUGCACCAAAUUUGAGGGCAGGACAGAAACAGGCUCUCUGAAUUUAUACUCCCUCGUCCCUGGGGGGCGAAUUCCCAGUCAUCGAGGACAUUUGUGACUCGUUUCAGGAAACUAGGCAUACGUAUGUCGCAUGUUACUACUUCACAGGAGAGGCAUUUGAACGUAAACAAGUAUUUUUUAUCAAAACGCAUUUUUUGGGAGAAAUGCCUUCUGGAACAUGUGAAAGUUCAUGUGCCUUAAUAACAAACUUGUCUGCCAUCUGUAAAUACCAAUGGAAUGGUUGAAUUACCAGCCUAGUUGGAAGUUACUAGCCUAGCCACGGAAAAAGACAGGAAGCGAUUUGCAUUGCUAGUUAUAGCCAAAUGUUAGCCAGGUAGCUAACAUUGAACCUAGUUGGUUAAAUGAAGUUACCUGCAGAUUCAUGCAUGGUAGAAAUGUUAUCAGUUGGGAUUAGGGUUCAUUUUGUAAAUAGCUAGCUAGCUACAUGUCUAAUCAAAAGACUCCACUAUGCAAGUAACCAUUUCACUGUACUGUUCACACCUUCUGUAUCCUGUAAAUAUGACAAAGAAACUUUGAUUUGAUUUGAUAUAGUGUGUGUUUACCAGAGACGGUAAUGCGAAGAACAACAUGAUCUGCACCAAAGUCAAAUUAGGAUAUAAUGUUAGGCCAGCGAGACAGUGUCUCCAUUAGAAUACCUUACUUCUAUUUCGGCACACUAACAACCGUAAGCUAUUUUCUGUAUAAUUAGCUUGCCAUUAACUUGUAAAUCAUGAUCUUGUUGUGAGUUUAUUUUCCUGUAAUAAUAUAUAAAUAUUAGCUAAAGUUAAGAUGUUGUCAGCUAUGAUAUAGUCAUUAUUUGAACUGGACAGCCAGCUAACUUAACAUUAGCGAGCUAGCUAGUUAACGAGCUAGAAACUAACCAAAACAUUGUUAAGGAAGUUGCUUUAAAUAUUCAUUUUUAAACAGAUGGGUUUGUUGGUGUUAAAAUGCACCAGUUAUGCUAUUUUGGACCACCAGGCAGCCUGUUGUUUUUGUGUUUAUACUUUUUCAUAUCAACAAGUUUCAUGUUGGAUGACAUGAUGUCACUAGGACAACUGUAGUCUUGAAAUCUUUGGUCCUUUAGCGUAUGGCCUCACAUGUGAACCCUUAAAGAGAUGGGUGGGGAUAAGCCUUAAGAGAGUGUGAACAAAGCUGAAGGGGUUAUAGACAAAGAGCUCUCCGGUAGUUGUACCAAAAAACUCAAGGGCCAUUUAAAAAAAAAAAUAGGGUUACAAGUUUAUUAACUUUCAAAGCAGAAUUACUUUCCCAUUGUUCAUCAACUGUGGUGUAUGAUAUACAUUUUAUAGUUCUCUACUUUUAUCCAAUGUUAAAAACAGAAUUUCAAAUGUUGCUACAUACAGUAGGACUGAAUUCAGGUGGUCGGUCACAUUUACACAAGGAGGAAGGCCCUCAACAUCAGACUCCAACCACCCUAGCCAUAGACUGUUCUUGUUGCUACCGCCGGGAAGACGGUACCGAACCAUCAGGUCCCGGACCAACAGGCUCCCAGACAACUUUGGCUGUCUCUUAAUGGCUGUUCACCUGCACCCUUGGAUUGUCUGCACUGUCUCUAUGCACAUGUACAUCACUCUCUCCUAACCCUGAUACACACACACACACACACACGCACACACACACGCAGAAACAUACACACACACACUCACACACACACAGAAACAUUCACACACACACACACACACACACACACAACCACUAUGUUGCUGCUACUAUUUACAUUUAUCCUGCUGCUCAGUUUACCCCUGAUUGUAUGCAUAUAUCUACCUCAUCUAUCACCAGUAUCACUGAUUUCAUUAUUGAUAUUUUUCUUGUACAUUUUGUUCUUUCUCAACUGGCAUUGACACUUUAUCUUCUAUUUUUUAAAUAUAUUGAUACCUUUCUUUUGACAAAUUAAUACGGCACUGUUGAGAAAGAGCUUUUCACUGUACUGUUUACACAUGUUGUAUCCUGUGCACGUGACAUGUAAACGUUGAUAUGGUUUGGUUUGAUUUGAUAUGUAGUGUGUUUACUAGAGACAAUGUGAAGAACAACAUGUUAGGACAUAGAGCAAGGACUAGAUUAAAUGUAUUUUUAC
ensembl:lncRNA